rnacentral:rRNA from 1 species
UACGGAGGGUGCGAGCGUUAAUCGGAAUUACUGGGCGUAAAGGGUGCGCAGGUGGUUGGAUAAGUUAGCUGUGAAAAGCCUGGGCUUAACCUAGGUCGGUCAGUUAAGACUGUUUGACUAGAGUAUGGGAGAGGGUAGUGGAAUUUCCGGUGUAGCGGUGAAAUGCGUAGAGAUCGGAAGGAACACCGGUGGCGAAGGCGGCUACCUGGCCUAAUACUGACACUGAGGCACGAAAGCGUGGGGAGCAAACAGG